rnacentral:lncRNA from 1 species
GAAGGGGCACAUGGAUGAAUCGAUCAUACACCGGAAUGAGAGGGAUCUGGAGACUGUAUAGGUAUGGGACUAUACAGUUGAAAGAUAGCUUAAAGGAAUUGAUUUGGCUACCUAUAUCACCAAAAUGCAUUUACUUUUCGGUAGCCUAACCCUUAAGAACUCCAUGGUUAAGCGUGCUUAGCCUGGAGUAAUUCUGGGAUGGGUGACCUUNCGGGAAGUUUUCCCGGAAAGUGUGCGAGUGAGGACAAAACACACUGGAAAGUCUCGUGGUGAUUUGUGGGGGCAGUCAACAAUCCCUGUAAGUUGUCGGGGCCUUACAAAUGGUAUCAGAGCCUAGCCUCUCCCAGUACGAUGUGGUUCGAGGAUGAACCAGACGAAAGCUGGUGGGCAUGUGACGCCCGGGCACUGACGAGGGCGGGGAGUGAUCGCCGGUGCAAGAGGCAUGGUGCAGG